GCAGCUUGUAAGGUUCAACCUAGUUUUAGCAACUUGCCAAAGUUCUGACGGAUUCGCAGACUGGAAGCGGGUAAGCUUUGCUGGGUGCAUUUCUUACAAGUGAGCGUCACGACCGGUUUUUGCGCUGUCGAGCCUUUGGAUUGCCGGCUGUGUCUUUUAGACCCAGUGUCCCAUCCUGAGUUUUGACCAGUUGUGAAAACCGAUGAUCUGCUGCAACGGCUUGUCGCCACUGCGGUUUUUUCAAUAGCGGCAUGUUUUGAAGCUUUGUUUACAAAACUUUGAAAUUGUGGCUGUUGGAAUGCCGUAGCGUGGCUUUGGUUGUAUAGGGUCUGUGGCGUCUGUGUCAGUCACCCACUCGACCCGUCUUGAAACACGGACCAAGAAGUCUAACAUGUGUGCGAGUCAUUGACUGGCAAAGUCAAAGGCGCAAUGAAAGUAAAGGUUGUUUCGGCAGCUGACGUGGGAUCUUUGUCUUUGGAUAAAGCGCACCACGGCCCCGUUCCACCUGCUUGUCAGAGGGGCGGAGGUAGAGCCCACAUGUUGGGACCCGAAAGAUGGUGAACUAUGCCUGAGCAAGGUGAAGCCAGGAGAAAUCCUGGUGGAAGCCUGUAGCGGUUCUGACGUGCAAAUCGAUCGUCAGACUUGG
rnacentral:rRNA from 1 species